rnacentral:tRNA from 1 species
GGGAAUGUGGCUUAAUGGUAGAGUGCUUGCCUAGCAUGCAUGAACACUGGGGUUUGAUUCCUCAGUACCA